UACGAAGGGGGCUAGCGUUGCUCGGAAUCACUGGGCGUAAAGGGUGCGUAGGCGGGUCUUAAGUCAGGGGUGAAAUCCUGGAGCUCAACUCCAGAACUGCCUUUGAUACUGAGGAUCUUGAGUUCGGGAGAGGUGAGUGGAACUGCGAGUGUAGAGGUGAAAUUCGUAGAUAUUCGCAAGAACACCAGUGGCGAAGGCGCUCACUGGCCCGAUACUGACGCUGAGGCACGAAAGCGUGGGGAGCAACAGG
rnacentral:rRNA from 1 species